CAAUAGCGUAUAUUAAAGUUGUUGCGGUUAAAAAGUUCGUAGUUGGAUUUCUGCCAAGGACGACCGGUCCGCCCUCUGGGUGAGUAUCUGGCUUGGCCUGGGCAUCUUCUUGGAGAACGUCGCUGCACUUCACUGUGUGGUGCGGUAUCCAGGACUUUUACUUUGAGGAAAUUAGAGUGUUUCAAGCAGGCUUCCGCCUUGAAUACAUUAGCAUGGAAUAAUAAGAUAGGACCUCGGUUCUGUUUUGUUGGUUUCUAGAGCUGGGGUAAUGAUUAAUAGGGAUAGUUGGGGGCAUUCGUAUUUAACUGUCAGAGGUGAAAUUCUUGGAUUUGUUAAAGACGGACUACCGCGAAAGCAUUUGCCAAGGAUGUUUUCAUUGA
rnacentral:rRNA from 1 species